CAUUCGAUGAAGACCGUUGCGGAUUGCGAUAAGUAAUGUGAAUUGCAGAAUUCAGUGAAUCAUCGAGUCUUUGAACGCACCUUGCACCCUCUGGUAUUCCGGAGGGUAUGCCCGGUUGAGAGUUUUGAAUAUCUCAAUUUCAAUGCUUUGUUAACAAGGCUUUUUCAGAGGACCUUCCUUGUCUAGCGAGACAUUGGGUUGGACUCGAUCAAGUCUGAGGUGUUGAAACUUGGACUUGAGCUCCGUUGGCCCUUUAGGUUGACCGGCUUGAAAUGCAUUAGCGAUGUCUGACCAAGGUGUCCUGAUUGGCGUGAUAAGCAUUGAUCGUCAUGAAAAGGUGCCGUUGUCUGUCGCUCCUAGCCGUCUUUGGACAAUACCUGACAUUUACACCUCAACUCGGGUAGGACUACCCGCUGAACUUAAGCAUAUCAAUAAGCGGAGGAAAAGAAACUAACAAGGAUUCCCCUAGUAACGGCGAGUGAAGCGGGAUGAGCUCAAAUUUUAAAUCUGGCGGUCUUUGGUCGUCCGAGUUGUAAAUUAUAGAAGCGUUUUCUGUGCCGGACCUGUCAUAAGUUAUCUUGAAUGAUACAUCAAAGAGGGUGAGAAUCCCGUGCUUUGGCAGGAACCACCGGGGCUAUAUGAUGCGCUCUCGACGAGUCGAGUUGUUUGUGAUUGCAGCUCUAAAUGGGAGGUAAAUUCCUUCUAAAGCUAAAUAUGUUGGAAUGACCGAUAGCGAACAAGUACCGUGAGGGAAAGAUGAAAAGAACUUUGGAAAGAGAGUUAAACAGUACGUGAAAUUGCUGGUGGGGAAACGCUUGAAGUCAGUCGCGUCUUCGGGGAUUCAGCCUUGCUUCUGCUAGGUGCAUUUUCCAGUUGAUGGGCCAGCGUUCAUUUUGAUCGUCGGAAAAGGGCAGCUUGAAUGUGGCAGCUCCGGCUGUGUUAUAGCUUGCUGUCGUACACUUCGGUCGGGAUGGAUCUAACGGCACGCUUUUCAGUGGUGCCUGCGCUGACAUAAUGGCUUUAAACGACCCGUCUUG
rnacentral:rRNA from 1 species